rnacentral:piRNA from 1 species
CAACAUCAAAAAGUUCAUCAG